rnacentral:rRNA from 1 species
CACGAACGCUGGCGGCAUGCCUAACACAUGCAAGUCGAACGAAGGCUUCGGCCUUAGUGGCGCACGGGUGCGUAACGCGUGGGAACCUGCCCCUCGGUUCGGAAUAACAGUUAGAAAUGACUGCUAAUACCGGAUGAUGACUUCGGUCCAAAGAUUUAUCGCCGAGGGAUGGGCCCGCGUAGGAUUAGCUAGUUGGUGAGGUAAUGGCUCACCAAGGCGACGAUCCUUAGCUGGUCUGAGAGGAUGAUCAGCCACACUGGGACUGAGACACGGCCCAGACUCCUACGGGAGGCAGCAGUGGGGAAUAUUGGACAAUGGGCGAAAGCCUGAUCCAGCAAUGCCGCGUGAGUGAUGAAGGCCUUAGGGUUGUAAAGCUCUUUUACCCGGGAUGAUAAUGACAGUACCGGGAGAAUAAGCUCCGGCUAACUCCGUGCCAGCCGCCGCCGUAAUAC